GAUGAACGCUAGCGGCAGGCUUAACACAUGCAAGUCGAGGGGUAUAGUUCUUCGGAAUUAGAGACCGGCGCACGGGUGCGUAACGCGUAUGCAAUCUACCUUUCACAGAGGGAUAGCCCCAGAGAAAUUUGGAUUAAUACCUCAUAGUAUAGCAGUUUCGCAUGAAACCACUAUUAAAGUCACAACGGUGAAAGAUGAGCAUGCGUCCCAUUAGCUAGUUGGUAAGGUAACGGCUUACCAAGGCAACGAUGGGUAGGGGUCCUGAGAGGGAGAUCCCCCACACUGGUACUGAGACACGGACCAGACUCCUACGGGAGGCAGCAGUGAGGAAUAUUGGACAAUGGGCGCAAGCCUGAUCCAGCCAUGCCGCGUGCAGGAUGACGGUCCUAUGGAUUGUAAACUGCUUUUGUACAGGAAGAAACACUACUUCGUGAAGUGGCUUGACGGUACUGUAAGAAUAAGGAUCGGCUAACUCCGU
rnacentral:rRNA from 1 species